AGAUCAAAAGGCAAGGGGUUAUAAAUAGAACCCCCACACCAGACCACAAACCCUAGCCGCCAGCCGCUCGCUGGAGAAGACGAACCAGAGGCCGACCGCCGCCACCCGCCGCCACUCGCCGCCGCACCGGGGAAAUUUCCGACCGCCGAUCGAGGUAAAUUUCAUACCCUCGACUCGUUUUUCCCCACUGAUUCCUCCUAUGGCCAAAUCGAAGCCGAAAUCCCGGCCAAACGGCCGGAAUACGCGGCCGAAGCCCAGCGGCGCCGCCGCGCCCCCUCUCAGUUUUUGCCUCCGACGAGGCCCUUCCCGGCCUCCGUUCGAUGCAAUUUUUAU
rnacentral:lncRNA from 1 species